UUGGCUCAGGAUGAACGCUGGCGGCGUGCCUAACACAUGCAAGUCGAACGGUGUAAUGAUUGAAGUUUUCGGACAGAUUUCAUUACAUAGUGGCGGACGGGUGAGUAACGCGUGGAGAACCUGCACUGUACUGGGGGAUAGCAGCUGGAAACGGCUGGUAAUACCGCAUGAGACCACGGGAGGGCAUCCUCCUGAGGCAAAAGAUUUAUCGGUACAGGAUGGAUCCGCGUUUGAUUAGCCAGUUGGCGGGGUAACGGCCCACCAAAGCGACGAUCAAUAGCCGGCCUGAGAGGGCGGACGGCCACAUUGGGACUGAGACACGGCCCAGACUCCUACGGGAGGCAGCAGUGGGGAAUA
rnacentral:rRNA from 1 species